rnacentral:rRNA from 1 species
AUCGAACGCUGGCGGCAGGCCUAACACAUGCAAGUCGAACGAGUGGCGGACGGGUGAGUAAUGUCUGGGAAACUGCCUGACGGAGGGGGAUAACUACUGGACACGGUAGCUAAUACCGCAUACCAUCGGAUCUGCCCAGAUGGGAUUAGCUAGUGGGUGGGGUAAUGGCUCACCUAGGCGACGAUCCCUAGCUGGUCCGAGAGGGUGACCAGCCACACUGGAACUGAGACACGGUCCAGACUCCUACGGGAGGCAGCAGUGGGGAAUAUUGCACAAUGGGCGCAAGCCUGAUGCAGCCAUGCCGCGUGUGUGAAGAAGGCCUUCGGGUUGUAAAGUACUUUCAGCGAGGAGGCGUUACUCGCAGAAGAAGCACCGGCUAACUCCGUGCCAGCAGCCGCGGUAAUUC